rnacentral:rRNA from 1 species
ACUCAAAGGAAUUGACGGGGGCCCGCACAAGCAGCGGAGCGUGUGGUUUAAUUCGACGCAACGCGAAUCACCUUACCCAGGCUUGACAUGGACCUGCAAGCCGGUGAAAGCCGGUCGCCUUCGAGGGUGGUCCACAGGUGCUGCAUGGUUGUCGUCAGCUCGUGUCGUGAGAUGUUGGGUUAAGUCCCGCAACGAGCGCAACCCCUGCCGGUAGUUAUAUGUGUCUACCGGGACUGCCGGCUUUCGGCCGGAGGAAGGCGGGGAUGACGUCAAAUCCGCAUGGCCCUGACGCCUGGGGCGACACACACGCUACAAUGGCCAGGACAGCGCGUCGCGAAGCCGCAAGGCGGAGCCAAUCGCCCAAACCUGGUCUCAGUGCAGAUCGGGGGCUGCAACUCGCCCCCGUGAAGGCGGAGUUGCUAGUAACCGCGUAUCAGCCAUGGCGCGGUGAAUCCGUUCCCGGGCCUUGUACACACCGCCCGU